UACGGGGGGGGCAAGCGUUGUUCGGAAUUACUGGGCGUAAAGGGCUCGUAGGCGGCCAACUAAGUCAGACGUGAAAUCCCUAGGCUCAACCUAGGAACUGCGUCUGAUACUGGAUGGCUUGAAUCCGGGAGAGGGAUGCAGAAUUCCAGGUGUAGCGGUGAAAUGCGUAGAUAUCUGGAGGAAUACCCGUGGCGAAGGCGGCCAGCUGGGCCGGGUCCGACGCUGAGGCGCGAAAGCGUGGGGAGCAAACAGG
rnacentral:rRNA from 1 species